rnacentral:rRNA from 1 species
GACAGAGGAUGCAAGCGUUAUCCGGAAUGAUUGGGCGUAAAGCGUCUGUAGGUGGCUUAAAAAGUCUCCUGUCAAAGAUCAGGGCUUAACCCUGGGCCGGCAGGAGAAACUCUUAGGCUAGAGUUUGGUAGGGGCAGAGGGAAUUCCCGGUGGAGCGGUGAAAUGCGCAGAUAUCAGGAAGAACACCCGUGGCGAAGGCGGCUCUCUGGGACGGUACUGACGCUGAGACGCGAAAGCGUGGGGAGCGAACAGG